rnacentral:miRNA from 1 species
GCAGCCACAUUCCAGCCAAUCAGCAGCAGACCCUCCCUCCCAGGCCCUCCCACCUCCUGGACAGCAUCCAUUUUACAUUCAUUGUGAAGCUGCAUUCUUAGUGAGCUGUCCAGGAGGUGGGAGGGUCUGGGAGGGAGGGUCUGCUGCUGAUUGGCUGGAAUGUGUCUG